AAACUCCUUAAAUACUUAACACAUUUUGGAGUGGGCUAAGAAACCAUUGCUUGAACCUUGGUAGGUCCAGCAGCAACACCCUUGCCAGAAAUUAUGUGCCCAAGGUAGUCAAUUUUAGCUUGCCAAAAGAGCAUUUGCUCAAUUUAACAUAAAGCUGCUGCUAUAACACUUUAAAAACUUCCAUCAUAUGCCUUAAAUGCUCCUCCCAAGAUGAGUUAUGGAUCAGAAUGUCAUUAAAAAAGACCAA
rnacentral:misc_RNA from 1 species